rnacentral:rRNA from 1 species
CCUACGGGAGGCAGCAGUGGGGAAUAUUGGACAAUGGGGGAAACCCUGAUCCAGCGACGCCGCGUGAGUGAAGAAGUAUUUCGGUACGUAAAGCUCUAUCAGCAGGAAAGAAAAUGACGGUACCUGACUAAGAAGCCCCGGCUAACUACGUGCCAGCAGCAGCGGUAAUACGUAGGGGGCAAGCGUUAUCCGGAUUUACUGGGUGUAAAGGGAGCGUAGACGGGAGUGCAAGUCUGGAGUGAAAGGCGGGGGCGCAACCCCCGGACGGCUCUGGAAACUGUACGGCUGGAGUGCAGGAGAGGGAAGUGGAAUUCCUGGUGUAGCGGUGAAAUGCGUAGAUAUUAGGAGGAACACCAGUGGCGAAGGCGGCUUACUGGACUGUAACUGACGUUGAGGCUCGAAAGCGUGGGGAGCGAACAGGAUUAGAUACCCUAGUAGUC